AUGAACAGGAUGCGUGCGGCGGGCACAUCAACAGGACCGGUCCCUGGGCGCAUAGCGGCAUCGAGCUGCAGUUCGAUAGACAUAAAGGAGGCAUCAUAUAUUGUCUUAGACAAAAUAUCAAAGUUCACAUCCAGGUGCGAAGAGGUCCUUCUUUCGACUGCAAGGAAGAAGGAAGAGGAAAAUCACCGCCAUUUCAAUGGACUAAAUAGCCUGAAAAAUUCAGCUCAACACACAAUCAAGAGGGAGGCAAAAAGAGUGAGAGACGAGUUCUUUUCCUUCUUCUCAAUUAUCGAGAGGCAAGAUGCCGAGACGAGGACAAGGAGGAGUGAUACAAGUAACAAUGCCAACUCAACGGGAUGCCGUGCGACACCCCCAAUGACAGACACUGCUGCGCCGAAAGCUCGCGAAGCGGCCGAGACACCUCCAGUCAGCGUCAGACAUCGAGGCAACUCUAACAUAUCACCGGAGGUCGUUGAGGUUUCUCCUCGACGAUUUAAGAGGACAUCCAAGAAACCAAAGAAAGUAAGAUUCGAGUGCGAGGCGUCAGAUAUCAUGGACAUCACAGAUUCAGAAGACAAUACAAACAUGGUCAAUUCACCAGUUCCACCAUUUAAUCCUGCCAACACAAUGGGAGAUUGUCACGUUGAAGGCAACUCGCCCAACUGUAACAUCGUUCUAGACAGCCUCAUAAGAGAAGCAGAGAGAUGCAACAGGGCAGGCAAGCAGUUUGAUGAGAGUUCCGCCGCAACCAACAAGUCAAUUAUGGACAUUGUACCAGGGACGUCGUCCCCCGACCGCGUCGGGGGCGCGGAUGUUGCAUCAACAUACCCCGUUUGUUGCACUCAAGACCCUAAUUACCACAACAACCGCCAGUGGGACUACCCUGAUGGACACCCACUUCUUGAAGAGACGCCAUCGUUUGACUUGGGCGUCAUCACACCCCCUUGCAACAAGUCAAAAAGUCCCAGUCUGGUUAGUAUUGCUACCAUGAGGGACAUCACCCGGAGAGACCUUUUUGGCGCGGGCGACUUUGGAAUGAGUACUCCAGGGUCUACUAACCUCGGGACACCACCAACGCCUUUCCACAUAGCCAGUGCAAGUGUAGACCCAACUCAGCAAUGGCAGCUCGUGUGUGACGUUUCACCAGUUAGUUGCACAAGGUCUGUAGCCACUGGACUCUUGGACUUCAGAGAAGAAGUGGGGGCAGAUUGUGUCAACCUCAACAAGCCAGUAGAGGAAAAUUCACUGUCUACACCGCCACCGAAAAGGAGAGUGGUGCCCGGACCUGCCGGACGAUCGCCUUUUGUGACGCAGUACCGUCUGUCCGAGAGGGCGUCGGGAAACGCCACCCACUUAUAUCUAGUAUUCUCGCAGAUGAGUGGCGCAGUGUUAAACAACAACUGGGUUGUUAGCCCAUACCCUAGUUACAUAGAACUGAUGGGCGCCAUACUGAAGAAGCAGCUUAGCGUUGGCAGGUUCAUAGAGAUAGAUCUAAUGAAUGUAUUCAUGCGAAGGUUCCAGCAGCUAGAGAAUGUUUGGGCAAGAAAAUACGGUGAUUCAUCCUGGAGGCAUUAUCUGGAGCCGGAAUUCGUGAGCCACGUGUUGUGCGGCGGUGAUUUCAUUCGUCACGACUACGGAAGGAACAUUUUUGUUGGCCACCAUAUCUCCCACGAUGUCAACAGAUGCCCUAUGAUGGUUUUGCCAGUGCACCACACACACGCCUGGUCUACAUACAUCUUUGAUUUCCCGAGGAGGAGAACAACAAUUCUCGACCCUAUGAUAAACAACGGAGACAGGCCGGCAGACGAACUCCGAAAUGAGCACAUAAAGAUAGCUGACGAGCUACGCGCUGCGCUAAUGGUUUGCAUAGCCGAAUACUUUGAUGGCUGGACGCCCAAGACCAAAGGGUGGCAGAAUUGGUUCCCAAAGCUGACCACAGGCCCUUGGGUCUGCACCCGUGCAUCCAGCGGGGUCGUUGCACUACAUUACGCAAGGCAGUGGAUGGGGACAAAGUUACAGAGGACACUAUCGCCAGGGAUGAGUUCGACCAAUCUAGGAUGA
rnacentral:rRNA from 1 species